GAGAGAGAGAGAGAGAGAAACAAACUAGGUUGAGAAAAGAAACAGAAAAGGGAGAAGAUUUAGAGAGAAGUAGAGAAGAGAAAAAUAUAAUUUUUUGUAUUGAUUAUUGGGAUGAAUCUCCUUUGAUACACUUCUCUGUACAAUAACUGUUCCCACCCUUUUUUAGUCACUUAACUACUUUCAGCCAAUUCUCCUCUAACUACUCAGAAAACUCUAACUACCUCAGUUAUACUUCAACUACUCUACUCUCUUUCUCAUACAACUACAACUCCAUUCUUAUUCUUUCCUUUCCCAUAUCUAUCUCUACUAUAUGCAACAAUACCUCCCCUACAAGCACAUUCUUGUCCCCAAGAAU
rnacentral:misc_RNA from 1 species